rnacentral:lncRNA from 1 species
AAGAAGCCAAGGAUGGAUCGGAAGCCUGGCGACAGCCCUCCGACACUGCCACCGCAUGCUAACCCGGGGACACGCAGAGCCACAGACCAGACCUCAGAUAAGGAGGAGCUGACAGGAUUCUUCGCAAAUUCAACCGCAGGGCAGAAAGAACAAUGAGCUAGCAGCCAGAAGAGAUGGGAGUGGUUGAGAGUCUGCCACCAUGCACCUUGUAGCUGCUAGAUUCCUCCUGAGAGAGCUCAGCAAGUGACUAAGCAAUUGUUUGCAUGAAGAUGCAUGUGAGCAGCCUCUGCUGCGCAUUCCCACGGCCACGACCUGAGCUGCAGCUCCACACCUCCCUCAUCAUCAUGGACUGAAGAGCUCUGAAACCAUGACCGAAAUAAAUGUCCCCCACCUUGA